rnacentral:rRNA from 1 species
AGUAACACGUGGAUAAUCUGCCCUGCACAGGGGGACAACAGCUAGAAAUGGCUGCUAAUACCGCAUAAGCCUACAGCCUCGCAUGAGGGAGUAGGAAAAGAAAUUCGGUGCAGGAUGAGUCCGCGUCUGAUUAGCUAGUUGGAGGGGUAAAAGCCCACCAAGGCAACGAUCAGUAGCCGGCCUGAGAGGGCGACCGGCCACAUUGGGACUGAGACACGGCCCAAACUCCUACGGGAGGCAGCAG